UACGGAGGGUGCUAGCGUUGUUCGGAAUCACUGGGCGUAAAGGGCGUGUAGGCGGCCUGCUAAGUCUGAUGUGAAAUCCCCUCGCUCAACGAGGGAACUGCGUCGGAUACUGGCAGACUCGAGUACCGGAGAGGAAGGUGGAAUUCCCGGUGUAGCGGUGAAAUGCGCAGAUAUCGGGAGGAACACCGGUGGCGAAGGCGGUUCUCUGGGCCUGACCUGACGCUGAGGAGCGAAAGCGUGGGGAGCGAACAGG
rnacentral:rRNA from 1 species